GAUGAAGAACGUAGCGAAAUGCGAUACGUAAUGUGAAUUGCAGAAUUCAGUGAAUCAUCGAGUCUUUGAACGCACAUUGCGCCCCCUGGUAUUCCGGGGGGCAUGCCUGUCCGAGCGUCAUUGCUGCCCUCAAGCACGGCUUGUGUGCUGGGCCUCCGUCCUCCUCCCGGGGGACGGGCCCGAAAGGCAGCGGCGGCACCGCGUCCGGUCCUCGAGCGUAUGGGGCUUCGUCACCCGCUCUUGUAGGCCCGGCCGGCGCUUGCCGACACAUCAAUCUUUUUUCCAGGUUGACCUCGGAUCAGGUAGGGAUACCCGCUGAACUUAAGCAUAUCAAUAAGCGGAGGA
rnacentral:misc_RNA from 1 species